GCAUAACUGUCAAACUAACAGGAACACUGGUGCCUCCUUUCUGCAGGUUCUCUUGGUAAGCAUAAUUGCCAAACUAACAGGAACACUUUCAAACUCUCAAACUUUCCGCAGGUUCUCCUGGCCACCACCGGCAGGGACGUUGCCAUGUAGCUGUGGUCAAGGAGGCCCACGGGUCGUGCCGGAACUAGGUGCAGCUGUGCCUGGAGGGUUGCCAUGAUGGCACCACCUUUCACCGUGUCGUGCUGGGCUUCAUCCACCCGACAGGAACGGACAGCAGCGGAGAAGCCGUCAAGGGGAAGCCCUUCAAGGAAGAGUUCCACACACAGCUGUGGCUCGGCCUGCUGGCAAUGGCCCCAGCGACAAUCGUUCUUUUUGGCGCUGGGCCAGACUCGAGAGCUGCAGGACAAACACACACACACACCGUCACGGCCAACACUCUCCACACGCCUGGAGGAGGGAGGCAUUGGUGAGGUGCCGGCCAGCAGCGGACAGUGACAGCGCCAGGAGUUCAGGAACCAAGACCUUACCAGCAGCAGCAAAGGCAGGAUGACCCAGGAC